GCUUACAAGACAAACAUACCAAAAUUCUAAAAUCGCUCCACAUUAAAAGUUUAUUUUACUCCUUGUGCUUUGUGACCUGUAACUACCAAAAAAAACUUAAAAUCUCAGACACAUUAUAUAUUCUGUAAAUCAGAACAACUAAAUGAAUUUAUUUUAAAUUACUUUCCUUAACCUGCACUAAUUAAGCACACAUUAUUAUAAUGUGUACAUUAUACUGUAAAAAAAAC